GGAUGGGAGGUUGGGGGUAGGUGGUGGUUGUCUGCUGGUUCUGAGUGUGGGAGGAUGGGAGGAUGGGGGGUAGGUGGUGGUUGUCUGCUGGUUCUGAGUGUGGGAGGGUGGGAGGAUGGGUGGUAGGUGGUGGUUGUCUGCUGGUUCUGAGUGAGGGAGGAUGGAUGGUAGGUGGUGGUUGUCUGCUGGUUCUGAGUGUGGGAGGAUGGGGGGUAGGUGGUGGUUGUCUGCUGGUUCUGAGUGUGGGAGUAUGGAGGAUGGGGGUUAGGUGGUGGUUGUCUGCUGGUUCUGUGUGGGAGGAUGGGAGAAUGGGGGUAGGUGGUGGUUGUCUGCUGGUUCUGUGUGUGGGAGUAUGGAGGAUGGGGGUAGGUGGUGGUUGUCUGCUGGUUCUGAGUGUGGGAGAAUGGGAGGAUGGGGGGUAGGUGGUGGCUGUAUGCUGGU
rnacentral:lncRNA from 1 species